rnacentral:rRNA from 1 species
UGGGGAAUUUUGCACAAUGGGGGAAACCCUGAUGCAGCGACGCCGCGUGAUUUAGAAGGCCUUCGGGUUGUAAAAAUCUUUUCUAUGGGAAGAAAAUGACAGUACCAUAGGAAUAAGGACCGGCUAAUUACGUGCCAGCAGCCGCGGUAAUACGUAAGGUCCGAGCGUUGUCCGGAAUCAUUGGGCGUAAAGGGUACGUAGGCGGGUAAGCAAGUUAGAAGUGAAAUCCUAUAGCUCAACUAUAGUAAGCUUUUAAAACUGCUCAUCUUGAGGUAUGGAAGAGAAAGUGGAAUUCCUAAUGAAGCGGUGAAAUGCGCAGAUAUUAGGAGGAAUACCGGUGGCGAAGGCGACUUACUGGCCAUAACCUGACGCUGAGGUACGAAAGCGUGGGUAGCAAACGGG